GAGCCCGUAGCUCAGCGGUAGAGCAUCUGACUUUUAAUCAGAGGGUCCUGGGUUCGAACCCCAGCGGGCUCACCA
rnacentral:tRNA from 2 species